GUGAGCUGGAGUAAGCUUGGUGCUACCUCUUUUCUUUUGUUUGUUAUUUUUUUUGAAUAAGAGGAUUGAAAGUUUCUGAAUAUUAUGAAGUGAAUUAUGGAAUGGAAAUGUGAUUGGUAUUAUUUGAGAAGAAGAAAGAUUGAAUGUUGAAAUCUGAUUGUAGUUCAAGAGAGAGAAUGAGUUUGUGUUUGUGUAAAACACUGUAAUGUGAAUGGCAGUUCUGUGUGAAGAAUUCCAGUGAUUGGAAUAAGGAUAAUUGUGUGCUGAAAGCUGUGAGGGUGCAGUAUUACAGUUGGAGAUUAUAAGGGUGAAUAUAUUGGUGGAAAUAGCAGUUAUUGGUAUGACUGAAUUGCUGUAAGGAAGAGACCGAUAAGGUGAAGGAAGAGAUUAUAGUUUCCUUGUGUGUUCAGAUAUUGGAAAUAGAGAUGAUACAUUCAAGAGGUAAUUGAUUGUGUGACCCUAAUGUGAACGCUUAAGCAAAUAGUCAUUUUUCAUGUUCGAAUCCCUCUAUACGAGUUUAUUU
rnacentral:lncRNA from 1 species